CCUACGGGAGGCAGCAGUAGGGAAUUUUGCGCAAUGGGCGAAAGCCUGACGCAGCAACGCCGCGUGAUUGAUUAAGCCCUUCGGGGUGUAAAGAUCUGUCAGUGGGGACGAUACUUGCCGUUACCCCCAGAGGACGCACCGGCUAACUCCGUGCCAGCAGCCGCGGUAAUACGGAGGGUGCAAGCGUUGUCCGGAAUCAUUGGGCGUAAGGAGUUCGUAGGAGGCAUAUUAAGUCUGGUGUUAAAUGCAGAAGCUCAACUUCGGUUCGGCACUGGAUACUGGUAAGCUAGAAUGCGGUAGAGGUAAAGGGAAUUCCUGGUGUAGAGGUGAAAUGCGUAGAUAUUAGGAGGAACACCGGUGGCGUAAGCGCUUUACUGGGCAGUAAUUGACACUGAGGAACGAAAGCAGGGGUAGCAAAUGGGAUUAGAUACCCUUGUAGUC
rnacentral:rRNA from 1 species